ACGCUGGCGGCGUGCCUAAUACAUGCAAGUCGAACGGUCUUUCUAUGGAAGCUUGCUUCCACUGAGAAGAUAGUGGCGAACGGGUGAGUAACACGUGGGUAACCUGCCCAUAAGAGGGGGAUAACAUCCGGAAACGGGUGCUAAUACCGCAUAGUUUUCUUGAUCGCAUGAUUGAGAAAGGAAAGACGGCCUUUGUGCUGUCGCUUAUGGAUGGACCCGCGGCGUAUUAGUUAGUUGGUGAGGUAAUGGCUCACCAAGACGAUGAUACGUAGCCGACCUGAGAGGGUGAUCGGCCACAUUGGGACUGAGACACGGCCCAAACUCCUACGGGAGGCAGCAGUAGGGAAUCUUCCGCAAUGGACGAAAGUCUGACGGAGCAACGCCGCGUGAGUGAAGAAAGGGUUUUCGGAUCGUAAAACUCUGUUGUCAGAGAAGAACAAGUUGGAGAGUAACUGCUCCAGCCUUGACGGUAUCUGACCAGAAAGCCACGGCUAACUACGUGCCAGCCGCCGC
rnacentral:rRNA from 1 species